rnacentral:rRNA from 1 species
GAUGAACGCUGGCGGCGUGCCUAAUACAUGCAAGUCGAGCGAACGGACGAGAAGCUUGCUUCUCUGAUGUUAGCGGCGGACGGGUGAGUAACACGUGGAUAACCUACCUAUAAGACUGGGAUAACUUCGGGAAACCGGAGCUAAUACCGGAUAAUAUUUUGAACCGCAUGGUUCAAAAGUGAAAGACGGUCUUGCUGUCACUUAUAGAUGGAUCCGCGCUGCAUUAGCUAGUUGGUAAGGUAACGGCUUACCAAGGCAACGAUGCAUAGCCGACCUGAGAGGGUGAUCGGCCACACUGGAACUGAGACACGGUCCAGACUCCUACGGGAGGCAGCAGUAGGGAAUCUUCCGCAAUGGGCGAAAGCCUGACGGAGCAACGCCGCGUGAGUGAUGAAGGUCUUCGGAUCGUANAACUCUGUUAUUAGGGAAGAACAUAUGUGUAAGUAACUGUGCACAUCUUGACGGUACCUAAUCAGAAAGCCACGGCUAACUACGUGCCAGCAGCCGCGGUAAUACGUAGGUGGCAAGCGUUAUCCCGGAUUUAUGGGCGUNAAGCGCGCGUAGGCGGUUUUUUAGUCUGAUGUGAAAGCCCACGGCUCAACCGUGGAGGGUCAUUGGAAACUGGAAAACUUGAGUGCAGAAGAGGAAAGUGGAAUUCCAUGUGUAGCGGUGAAAUGCGCAGAGAUAUGGAGGAACACCAGUGGCGAAGGCGACUUUCUGGUCUGUAACUGACGCUGAUGUGCGAAAGCGUGGGGAUCAAACAGGAUUAGAUACCCUGGUAGUCCACGCCGUAAACGAUGAGUGCUAAGUGUUAGGGGGUUUCCGCCCCUUAGUGCUGCAGCUAACACAUUAAGCGCCCCGCCUGGGGAGUACGGCCGCAAGGCUAAAACUCAAAGGAAUUGACGGGGGCCCGCACAAGCGGCGGAGCAUGUGGAUUAAUUCGAUGCAACGCGAAGAACCUUACCUGGGCUUGACAUACACUGGAUCGCUGCAGAGAUGUAGUUUCCCUUUGUGGCUGGUGUACAGGUGGUGCAUGGUUGUCGUCAGCUCGUGUCGUGAGAUGUUGGGUUAAGUCCCGCAACGAGCGCAACCCUUGUCUUAUGUUGCCAGCAUUUGGUUGGGGACUCAUGAGAGACUGCCGGGGUCAACUCGGAGGAAGGUGGGGAUGACGUCAAAUCAUCAUGCCCCUUAUGUCCAGGGCUUCACACAUGCUACAAUGGUCGGUACAACGCGCAGCGACACUGUGAGGUGGAGCGAAUCGCUGAAAGCCGGCCUUAGUUCGGAUUGGGGUCUGCAACUCGACCCCAUGAAGUCGGAGUCGCUAGUAAUCGCAGAUCAGCAAUGCUGCGGUGAAUACGUUCCCGGGCCU